ensembl:lncRNA
ACAUGACACAGGCACUUUGAACUCUGGAGCAACGGAUACUCCUGCAAGCUCCUGCUCCCCCAAACGAGAAUCCAGUCCAGAGGCGCAGUGGUCUGAGACCCGCACUGCCUGUGCUGAGAGCAGAGUCCAGUUCCUGAGAUGAUUAUGCAGCCAUGCCUAUGUCUGACGUGGUCUUGGGGAGAAUUCCAGUCCCUCUCCAGAGACAGUUUGCAAUAUGCAAUAUGAUCCUUUCUCCUGAUGCUGGGCAGAGAGCCACAGCUCCCAGUCAACUAAGGUUUCACUAGGAUUUGAAUGAAACAGCCAUGUUAUUGCCAUUGAAGCCUGGAUUAACUCGGGUUGCUGAGACCAUGUCAAAGUUUAUCUGCUAUCAAGGAUUUGGCAAUGGAGACAUUAAAAGAGUGAGGAACACUUCACCAAUCUCUGCUUUCCAUCUUCUUAUAACGGAAAGCAGGGAUCACAAGUUCAAGUACAAUGGGAUGAUCGAACAGUUUUAUAGGUGAGGGAACAGAUGCGAGUGUCACACAAGUGGCGAAGAAGAGAUUCCACGGCUCCAAGGUCCAUGAUUUUAACCAAAAUGUAAAUACUUACAAUAAAGCAAGAGUGAGUCACUGGUUCCAGGAUUGUGCAAGCAGGAGGAGGGAAGAAACUGAUCAUGGUAAUAUUUAACAGGGGAUAACUGCUGGCAGAGACAGGCCUGGGAACAUUCUAGAGAAUAUAAGAGCAGUGGGUUCCGGGGUGUUUGGACGGGAAACCAGUGGUGAGAAGAGUUAAAGAUUCCACAUAUAUUUUCCUGGGCUCCAAAAUUACUGUAGAUGGUGACGGCAGCCAUGAAAUUAAAAGAGCUCUGAGGCCCUGUAUGAUGUAGCUCCCUCCAGCCUCCAACCCCCCACAUCCUGGGCCACUCUCUCCACUGCCCCCCAACAGCCACAUGGCCUCCUCAUAUGUCAACUCACCCCAGCAACUUCCGCUCCGCCCCAGGCCCGUGCUGCCAUAUCCCGCCCGCCAUCAGCUGCACACAUGGAAUGUUGCUCCAGGACCUUGCUUUCGACAGGUGGAUUCUUUACCAUCUGAGCCACCAGGGAAGUCCAGGGGUGGCCUUAGAUCUUCCUUAUAACUGGACAGGGCACUGCUGCAUCAUCUUUCUCUCCAUGAACCCGGAACGGGAAGAACAGAAACGUAAGGAACAGAAACACUGUGGAAGAUUGUACCCUCCAAAUUGGCCACAGUAUCUACUCUACAGAUGCUGUUCCAGAAACAUACCACUCCCCAUCAAGAUAUCACCUACACAAAAAUAAAGGAUAAAAACAUAUGAUCAUGUCAAUAGAUGUAGAAAAAAGCAUUUGACAGAAUUCAACACUCACUCAUGGUAAAACUCUCUACAAAGUGGGUAUACAGGGAACCCAACUAAACAUGAUAAAGGCUGUAUAAGACAAACCCACAGCUGACAUCAUACUCCAUGUUACCAAGCUAACAACUUUUCCUCUAAGAUCAAGCACAGGGCAAUGAUGCCCUCUCUCACCACGUUUAUUCAACACAGUAUUGGUAACCCUAGCCAGAGAAAGUAGCUAGAAAAAGAAAUAAAAGAAUAUACAAGCGGGAAAGGACAGUCUCUUCAAUAAAUGGCGUCAGGAUAAUUGGACCACUCUCUCAUGCUGUACACAAAAAUCAACUCAAAAUGGAUUAAAGACUUAAACAUAAAACCUGAAACCAUGAAACUCCUAGAAUAAAACAUAGGGGAUAAAUUCCUUAGCAAUGAUUUUUUUUUAAUUUAACACCAAAAGCAAAGGCAACUAAAGCAGAAAUAAACAAGUGGGACUACAUCACACUAAAAUGAUUCUACUUAACAAAGGAAGCCAUCAACAAAAUGAAAAUG